AUCACUUGUCGGACUUUUGGCUAAGAUCAAGUGUAGUAUCUGUUCUUAUCAGUUUUAUAUUUACAGAAUUUUCAUCUGGGAAUCAAUAAAGUCUGUCUAAGCCUAAAAUGUUGUUAUUGCAUAAAUUCCAAAGACUCUUCUUUCAAAUGUCUGUUUUUCAUUUCGCAAGAGUGUUCUC
ensembl:snRNA U2 U2 spliceosomal RNA